rnacentral:rRNA from 1 species
GAGAGAGCGGCGUACGGGUGCGUAACACGUGUGCAACCUACCUUUAUCAGGGGAAUAGCCUUUCGAAAGGAAGAUUAAUACUCCAUAAUAUAUUUGAUGGCAUCAUUAGAUAUUGAAAACUCCGGUGGAUAGAGAUGGGCACGCGCAAGAUUAGAUAGUUGGUGAGGUAACGGCUCACCAAGUCUGUGAUCUUUAGGGGUCCUGAGAGGGAGAUCCCCCACACUGGUACUGAGACACGGACCAGACUCCUACGGGAGGCAGCAGUGAGGAAUAUUGGACAAUGGGUGAGAGCCUGAUCCAGCCAUCCCGCGCGAAGGAUUAAGGUCCUACGGAUUGUAAACUUCUUUUGUACAGGAAUAAACCUAUUUACGUGUAGAUAGCUGAAGGUACUGUACGAAUAAGCACCGGCUAACUCCGUGCCAGCAGCCGCGGUAAUACGGAGGGUGCAAGCGUUAUCCGGAUUUAUUGGGUUUAAAGGGUCCGCAGGCGGACUGAUAAGUCAGUGGUGAAAUCUCAUAGCUUAACUAUGAAACUGCCAUUGAUACUGUUGGUCUUGAGUAAAUUUGAGGUAGCUGGAAUAAGUAGUGUAGCGGUGAAAUGCAUAGAUAUUACUUAGAACACCAAUUGCGAAGGCAGGUUAC